AUAUAGCUUCAGGGCAGGGUUCAUUUCCCUACCGGUGGUAUAGCCCACGAGCCGCAAGGCAUGAUUCGGUGAAACUCCGAAGCCGACAGUAAAGUCUGGAUGAAAGAAGAAAAAA
rnacentral:ncRNA from 2 species